UUCUUCGGAGAGUUUGAUCCUGGCUCAGGAUGAACGCUGGCGGCGUGCCUAAUACAUGCAAGUCGAGCGAACUGAUUAGAAGCUUGCUUCUAUGACGUUAGCGGCGGACGGGUGAGUAACACGUGGGCAACCUGCCUGUAAGACUGGGAUAACUUCGGGAAACCGAAGCUAAUACCGGAUAGGAUCUUCUCCUUCAUGGGAGAUGAUUGAAAGAUGGUUUCGGCUAUCACUUACAGAUGGGCCCGCGGUGCAUUA
rnacentral:rRNA from 1 species